rnacentral:lncRNA from 1 species
UUCAGGUCCGGUACUUACCGUGAUGGAUCGUAUGCUAGAAUGGAAACGUUCUACCCCCGAAAUGACACGUAAUACCUGUGACUUUACAAUAUUAUAAGUUUGUGUCCAUUACACAGAACCUGAGGGCGGCAUGGACGUUCUACUAAUGGAAAAUCCCACUCAGUUUCCGUUCAAAGUAAUCCUUGCAUUUAGCUCACACUAGACAGUAAAGCUGAAAAUUUGCCGUUAGAUAUUUGGCUACCUCCCUCAGGUGCUUAGGGAGCACAUACGCCCGGCACGUUCCCGUCGGAUUGCCUGUGGAACUACCUGGUACGCCUGUGCCCCUCAUGCUUCCGAAUAAUACAUAAUUAAUAAUGCAUUUUUGGCAUGUUGGCCUUUAUCCUUCCGUGUUGGAGCCUAACGCUGUCCGACGGCAAAGUGGGAACAGAUGCUACGCAAAGCUUGCAGUAACUCGUAUACGCCAAACCUCUAAAACUUUGUGUGACUUCGAUUUGGGAAUUUCCUGGCAGGUGGAACCUUGUUGAGCUGCGGAGAGCUUAGGCACUACUAGCAAUCGCACUAGUUUACCUGCUGAGCGCAGACUUCCGUUAUGCGCUGGAUGCUGAAAAUAUCGGUCAGCCCGACCAUGUCAAUGCGCCUGACAGCGCUUCUGCUGGUGGCCAUCUUUGCCUUCUCGCCUGAAGCCGUAUGGGGCGCCCGGCGACUUUUUGCAGCAGACUUUGCCACGGAAAUUGAGGAGGCAACUGGUCGAUGUCGUAACCACUCAGAACCUUGUCAUGACGGCUCCGAAGCACUCCUUGGCGAUCCAGACAUCUUAGACCUCCUCGACAUGGUUCAGGAAAGGGAGCCUGGUGAGCUGGUUCACACGAACUGUCAUCGUUUUCCCCCCUUGAAAGUGACUUUCAAGUAGACUUACCAGGAAAGGAAACUUUCAAAGCGAUUGUUGAGGCCUGUUCCGGCCGACUGCUCGCAUCCCAUAGUCCUAUAGGAAACAACUUGCUGUUCACCAACGAGUCCCGUGCAAGCCCGUUGUGCUUCAGUUCCACGCUCUCCCCCCUCGCCCACCCUCCCGCCACCUUUUUUCCGUUCCCAACGCACCGCCGCUCUGCCGUUUUCUGAAAACACCGUCAAAUCCAGUAAAAUCCAGCCAUAGUGCUGUGCACGUUUUGUUUGCACGCAUACUGAAUGCAACUGUUCACCUUAUAACGCGCGCUUCCCGCGCGCCAACGACCGACCGGCUGCCAUACAGACCCCAUGCGGCGCCGUACGCUCGCGAAUCCAUCCAUCCAUCUGGUCGCGCGCCAGGCUGUUAAAUUCUCACCCCUGCUUCCUCACCUUUCAUACCUUUGUGCGUAUUGUCCUGGUCUCCUCACCGCGGAUGCGCUUCCUGGCCCAAACUCCGCCCGCCCUGCCAUGCCAUGCCUCGCCCUACUGCAUGACGCACUGGGCUUUGCACCUCGAAGUUCUCUCCGGUCCGUACGGCGGCUACGGCGGCUAUGGCGGCUACGGUUGCUACGGUUGCUACGGUUGCUACGGUCAUCAUCAUGGCGGGUACGGCGAUACAUCCAGGGAAUCUGACGCGGACUUCGAGGAUCUGAUCUUCGUGGGGGCUGCCCUGGAGUUAUUGGACGAGCACACGAGUGUGAGCGACCGCGUGCGUGAAGCAGAGGAGGAAGCGCAACGACUCCUAGAGCAGGACGAAGGACGCCUAGAGGAGGCUAAUCUCUCGUAACACACACCUUUUGAUUGGGGAUCAGUUAUCAGGGGAUGUACGGCGGGCCAGGGCAAUAACGGUCAGGAGCCCUCAAGGGAUCUCCGCGCAUCUGAGUUUGGCUUGGUGGGGAGCAAGCCUUUUGGAUGGCUGGGCCUGAUUUUGCACCCAGUUAGUUGUCUUAGUUUAUUACAGUUAUCGCAGGCCCGGGUGGGGCCCCUAGGAGGCUUUUGCCAGCGCACGGAUUUGUUCCUUUCCUAGGCCUAGCCCGUGAGCGACUGAUGCACAGCCAUGAUGUGGCGGGAGCGAGUGCGCGAUUGUUUGGUUGCGUGGGGCAGAAAACCUGCUAGUGGCAAUGACGUAGGCUGCAGGUGCAUAGUGUUGUGCGAUUCUAAGGUGCUGGCCAUGGGUCACCAGCGAGCUUGCUGGCAAGUUCCUGUCCUUCCUUAUCUAGAUACUUGCACGGUGAUGUAGUCAUUGCUACAUUCUUUAGUCGGGGGCUUGCGUCGGCGUAGUGCGCUCGUUCCUAACCUCUAGCACUGCGACCUGUCUGCCUGAUCCGAUUUGCACGGUUUGCCACGGGUGUGGUGGCAUCAUGAUGAGGUUUCGGUAGCGUGCUCUGGUGGGGGCGCACUCUGGCGGUACUCUGCUGCGUAUGCCUGUGGAGCCUGACAAGGGAGAGUAGGAAAAUAGGAAAUUAUGAUGGCUUUGGGGAGAUGGGAAAGGAAGGAAGGGGAGAGAGGGACGGAGAAGAGGAGCCCCGAACCGGGGAUCAUGAUUGUCGGUCGGAAAAGGUGGCGCCAUAAGAAGCACGGCAAGCCCGAAUCCUAGAUGGAUUUCAAAGCUGUCAAAGCUGUGGGCGAGCCAAUAGUUUUGGGAAUUGCAGGAGUUUCAGCAUGCUGCAUAUCCACAGCUUCGCUUGGGACAGUUUCAGGUAGCCACGAGUUUGCAGUUCCGUCCGAACCCUCCGUUCGACGGAAGGUUUAGGGUUAAAAGAGCCCUUAGUAGCAAUCGAUGUGGGAAAUCUCCACGUAUUUUUUAUGGGUGAUACAAAGUCAUGCGGCCGGCCCAGGUUUCAGGUACACCUAGGAGUUCUGAUUUGCACGUGCUGCCUGUCGAAGACACAGAAGGCUCACCUUCUUUGGAGUCAGGCAACGCACGGUCGUCGAUCGCACGCACGUCAUCCCUUCGCCAUAUGGGCGCCUGAAGGCUUUGAUGAAUGGGUGGUUGCUCAGGUUGGAAUGUUGAACGUUGUGAAUAAACUUGGCGUCUUGCACAACACUGCUGAGCCGCGGGUCGUGGGAGCCAACAGGUCAUAUCCUACUGACCCGCGAGCGACUAAAUGGCAGCCUGAUGCUGCAUGGCUGUCGUGCUGAACGUAUGGGAAGCAUUAACGAAGAGGACUGUGUGGUCAUUUAUACACCAAGUCAUGGACCUCAUAGGACUAAUUUUUUCCUUCACGCUGCUAACGGAAGCAUGAUGUUCACAUCAAGUGGGUUGAACGCCUCGCGUGUGGUUGUGGUGCAUCAUUGUGUGUCAACGGUACUCCGCUUCCAAGGUGCAUUAUUACCGCUUGUUUACGUCUUAGGGUGAAACCGGCGGGUGCGCACGGAAAGUUAGUGUUGGGCGUUGGCGACAUGGGGGCCCUCGUAGGUGCGUGUGCACUCUGCAUGAAUGCUUUUCCAACGUCAGCUAUCGCCGUACGUGCAGCACGAGAACAGGCGCAGCUGGCGUCGUGCUGGUACGCACGUCACGUGGCUCGGCAUGCGCAUGUACGGCAAAUGCUGUAUGAUGGUCUCCCGGACACGGGCAUUUGCGUUCCAUUUCACCGAAAACCUCAUUCCGUGUGUAUGCACGGUGCUCUGUUGUGGGAUCCGCUAUCGUACAAGUCCUGUAGGACCGUCGUAGUCGUAUGCAUCAUCACCGUGCUGCGUUAGGUUGCUGACAUGGCCAGGAGCUUUAUACGAUCAUACGUCUGGCAUUUUAGGAGUUGAGAACAAUGUUGCCGCAGGUAUGCACGCUGAGCCACUUUUUUCUGUCACGCUGCUGUGUUUUCCACGUCUGUGCAACAGUUCCGGUACGACGCACCGUUCUGGUACGACGUAGCUAGCCACGUGGAUACAGUAUUCUUGACAAAGCUGUAGAUCGACGAGUUUAUUUAUGUGGGAUGGUAGAACUGAGAAGUAAGUCCUGUUGUGCAAGGUCUGUUUGUGAGUAUUGCUACUUUGGGGGUAGAAAAUUUCGGAUUCGCUUGUGCUCACGUACGAUUGUAGUACGGCGAGAGGACAUGGUAAUUCGCGUCUGGUGCUUGUAAUAUCUCCCCAUUACACUGCUGUAAGACGGCGCAGAUUUGUGUUGCAGUGAGCAGAUGAGAAAGAUACUGCUGUCUUAGAAACAGCCUCCUUUUGUAAAGCGCAGCGCAAAUGGCAACGCUUAAACACGGCGCAGAGCUGCCGGUCUGCCGGUUGCAAAGAGAGUGGACCCAAAGAGAGUGG